UACGUAGGGUGCAGGCGUUAAUCGGAAUUACUGGGCGUAAAGCGUGCGCAGGCGGUUUUGUAAGUCUGUCGUGAAAAUCCCCCGGGCUCAACCUGGGAAUUGCGAUGGAGACUGCAAGGCUAGAAUCUGGCAGAGGGGGGUAGAAUUCCGACGUGUGAGCAGUGAAAUGCGUAGAGAUGUGGAGGAACACCGAUGGCGAAGGCAGCCCCCUGGGUCAAGAUUGACGCUCAUGCACGAAAGCGUGGGGA
rnacentral:rRNA from 1 species